UUUUAAUUUCCCUCAUUUUAGUUUUCCUUCAUACCAGAACAUUCUCAUUACGUCUCUCUCCCUCUCGCUCUCGCUCUCCCUCUCCCUCUCCCUCUCUCACAAUUUUAGGAUUUUCUCUCACUAGACCAUUCAAGAGCUCCAGCUCCUUGUUCGCUAGAAGACUAUUGCUCGAGCCCUAUUACUUCAAAGUUGAAUGCUCAGUGACAGUCCCAAGGGAAUCAAUGCCGGAGAUAUUAAGAAGUUUGAAGACGCUAGGAUCUACAACUGCAAUCACUUGAUGAUGCAUAUGAAGAAGAACUUGAAUGGAAUCAAAGGUUUAUCUGAGGCUAAAGUUGAUAAGAUAUGCGAAGCUGCUGAAAACCAUUUCAGCUAAGAGAUUUUAUAUCUCAUAUGUGUUCUUUGAUUAGGAAACACUUCAGAGACAAAUUCAACUUGUUAUUCAUAGUUUGAGAGAGGCUCUAGAUGGCUCUGACGGGUUCCAGAAUACCCAUCAAAUGCAACAAUUUCAAUCUGCAUAAUUUAGUAUAGAUCAGGUUGUAUUCAUUCUAGAGUCGCAAAUGACAUACUUCUUUUGGAUGAUAUGGCAGCAGAGGAAACAUUAGAGGUGUCCAUUGCCGCAGAUCAAGUGUGAGUUUGAUUCUUGUUAGAUGAUGUCUACUGCCAGUGCUAUCAUGAGGUUUUUGCAUAGGUUACGUUGUAGGUUUGUCAGCACUAUUAUGAGUGAAUGAGUUGGAGGCUGUGUACAAGUUAAUUGUAGAUUUGGCAGCACUAUUAUGUGUUUUUUUAAUACUCUAUAGAGUUUGGAUUUGGAAUUGACUAUGAUUGGUAUAGUUUUCAAUGAAAUGGUUCUUUCUUUCAA